rnacentral:rRNA from 1 species
UACGUAGGGUGCAAGCGUUAAUCGGAAUUACUGGGCGUAAAGCGUGCGCAGGCGGUUCGGAAAGAGAGGUGUGAAAUCCCAGGGCUUAACCUUGGAACUGCACUACUAACUACCGGGCUAGAGUACGUCAGAGGGGGGUAGAAUUCCACGUGUAGCAGUGAAAUGCGUAGAGAUGUGGAGGAAUACCGAUGGCGAAGGCAGCCCCGUGGGAUGAUACUGACGCUCAUGCACGAAAGCGUGGGGAGCAAACAGG